rfam:Otolemur garnettii contig059044, whole genome shotgun sequence.
UCAAAGGCUCUUUUCAGAGCCCCUUCACAUUUUUACAAUUGUAGCUG